CUCCUCUGGUGGGAUAGGCUAAAGGAGACUAUGGUCAAAAGCAGUUCAUGUUGGAAGUAGGCUUUUGACUUGCGUAGCAAUGUCCAUAGAGGAGCACAUCGUGCUGAGGUCAAAAGAGCAAAGACUGUAUUCCUGAAUACCAGGGAACUGAAUCCCAUUAUCCGUUGGACUUGGGUGGCAUCCAAAACAUUAUCACUAUGAAGCGCCUAAGCCUUAAAAGAAGGCCCAGAGGGGUUCUCAACGAUGUGGAAAAGACACAGAGUGGUUCUUCAAGUGGCAAGGUGCAUUCUGCCGAGUCCCUGUCAUUGCCUGGCAACGAUGGCACGAGAUUACUGGGCAUGUCUUCUUCGGCCAAAGGUCGACCUCCGUUACCUCCGCCACAUAGUUCCUUACUGGAUGACAGACGUUCCAAGGGUGGAGGUCCGGGCAACUCUCAGCGACACGCAGAACCAAAACCUCAACAAACUGAGAGAAACGCAGCUUCACAAAUACCAAGCCCUGGCGUAGAACAGACAGUCUUGGAGACUCAUAAAAACAUAAGCCAAUCUCCACCUCAACCCCUUCCCCGUCGCCGACUAGCUAGUUUUGGAGGCAUAAGCCCUUCUGGGUCACACUCACCCUUCACAGGCCUGGGUGCAUAUAAUCAGAACAACAAUGGCAACAAGCCUGAUGAUGACAUGAGUGCCCACCUUACCUCAUCCCUCGGAAGUAGAGGCAGCACCGGGUGCCUGACGUUGAGCCCACAGAGUUCUGGCAGAAAUACUCCAGUUACAAGCCUUGGGUCUAUGCACCUACAACAUGUCCGUGAUCAGAUGGUGGUAGCUCUAAAAAAGCUAAAGGAGUUGGAGGAGCAGGUGAAAAUCAUUCCUAUUCUUCAAGUCAAAAUAUCUGUCCUUCAGGAAGAAAAGAGGCAGCUGGUCUCUCAGCUGAGUGACAGCAAGAGUUUAAACGACAUGACCUGGAAAACAUGUCUUGGAGAAGAUGGGAUUGACUUUGAGAAUAAACGGCACACUGAAACAGAGUCCGAAGGCACCAAUGAAAAGGUUUAUACUGACUUUAGAGAGUUCAGGGAACUCACUGAAGAGAUGCAGGCUUUGGAAAGAACCAUCAAAGGAGGACAUAUGCUUUCAUGGCAAGAAAAAGGGCAUAGUCUAUUGCACAAAAAUACUACUAACUCUAAUGGCAUUAAAACUGACAUUGAUACGAAAAUGGCUUCAUCUAAAACCUCAAAAGAAAACAAAUCUGUGCACACAGACCAAGUAGAAACCAGAUCCAUUGCAACAGAAGUGACUGAAGUCAGUCUUGGAAUUCACACAAAACAUGAAGCAGAGCUUGAAGCCCAGCAACUACUAAAUGCUGCCUUAAAGGAGAGGAUUUCCCAGUUAGAAACCGAGUUAAGAGAAUCAGCUCUUCAGACAGAGUUGACCCGUCUAAAGCUGGAACUUCAGGCAGCAGGAGCCAGGAACCGUGUUGACAAGACCUGCUUUGCUAAGCCGCACACUGCAAGUGUAGGCACAACAGCAAGACCGUUCACUCAAAGUCAGGGAGUUGGCAAUCACAAAGAGUUUCAAGAUGCCAGCACCGGUGAAGCAACAGAAACAAAAACUGUGGGGGUAUCUUGCAAGCCUAAAAUGACGGAUAUUUGUACAGGCCUGGAUGUUCCCAUGAGCCACUGGGAGAUUAGGGAGAGAGUGGAGACCAGUGAAAAAGCCGUUGGGAUACAAGUUUCCACAAGCACAGUGGGAGUUGGGACAGACAUAAAGAUAUCUGAUGCCGAAAGCAACACAGAGCUACCACUAGAAAAGCUAGUGUUUCAGAAAGAAAAAGUGAAGUGUCAUUCUGUGGCUUGUGGGGCCUACUCUGUUGACUUGACUAUUUGCAAGUCAAAGGAAAUGAUUUCCCAAGGUAUUACCACAGAUUCAAUCAGAAGAGUCGAUCAGGGAAUACUGGCAUCGCCCCAAACGGCUUCCCAGCGUACCAAUACAGUAUCCAGUUCAGUGUCUCGCUUCACCAACACCAGUCAAACCUUCAGCAAUGACUCCAGCACAAACACACUUCUCAGCAAGCAUGACAAGCACACCAACACCAGCCACACAUUCACUCGGACCAUAUCAGUUGGCAAUGGGGUUGGAGGAAUUAUUUGCACAACGGAAACCCGCACAGUUGGUGUAAAUACAGCAAAUUCAGAGUGUUAUUCAAAACUACCACCAGACACAGUGAACAAGGCAACCCGAGACUGUGGUGUUGGGUUAACAAACAUUUAUGAGAAUUUCCUUGUGGGACUAAAAACACGCAACAUGGCCUCCGGACCAUCUCACAUUCCUGACCCUAUCAAGACAAGGAGCAUAGGUGUAGGCGACGGUAGGAUACGGGAUUUUUCUACGUCAUCUUGCGCACCUAAGCCAAAGUUCCAGCAGUCUUCACAAUUUCAGUGGGAUCACAAACUGAACCAUUACAUAGAGAAGAUGCACAGGCUCUUAAAGGAGAAUGGAGACCUUCUCACAGGGGACCAAAGUGACCAUUACCCCAGCUCCAAACCACUGAGCAAUUUCAAAAGUAUGACAGAAGGAGAGGCAGUUAUACAUCGAUUCACCUCUCAUCCAACAGAUUUGCUUUCCCCAUCUCAGCCUUUAAAUGUCUCCAAAGAACACUCAGAAGUCUCCCAACAAGAUGGUAAUGCAUCAGAGGUGAAGAAAAUGAUAAAAAUGUUAGAGCAACAAGCAGCCUCCGCAGUUCAAGACAGGUCAGCUAAUGCCUCUAACCCAUGGUCUGCCAUGAAGAAACAGGGUGCUGACCAGUGCCACAGCAGCAACAGGAAAAGCAUGAAAUUUAUGAAGGUGUCUGCAGGAUUGGAGCCGACAUCCGCUUCCGAGCACGAGGAAAGAGAAGGGAGAGGAAGCGACACCUUUGGAAAGGUUUCCCAAGAUGGAUGGCAAGCAAAAAAAGGAAAAGAUGGCUCCAACAAAGGAUCAAAAGGCAGUUUGAAAUUGUCUAGACAACACAGAUGCAAUCUAAGUGAAAGGAUGUUUUCUGCGUGCCAAGAUUUAAAGAUGCACCUGAGCGAGAACCCGGCCACGUCCAGCAGAGAACUGCAGGAUUGCCUGCGCUCGCUCCAGCAAGAGUGGUUCUCCGUUUCCAGCCAGAAGUCGGCCGCUCCUGACACAGUAGGGGAGUACUUGUCUGCGUUCCGGAUGAUUUCACCCUCAGUGUUGCAACACAUAGUCAACAUGGCUGAUGGCAAUGGAAACACAGCGCUACACUACAGCGUGUCUCACUCCAACUUUGAUGUGGUCAAGAAAUUGCUUGAUGCAGAGGUGUGCAACGUGAAUCAGCAGAACGCAGCGGGUUACACUCCCGUGAUGCUGGCUGCGCUUGCCGCCGUGGAGCGUCCUGACGACAUGAGGGUGGUGGAGCAGCUCUUCUCUAAGGGAGACGUCAACGCCAAGGCCAUCCAGGCCGGUCAGACGGCUCUCAUGCUAGCUGUGAGCCACGGCAGGCUGGACAUGGUUCGGGCUCUCCUGGCGCAGGGGGCAGAGGUCAACAUCCAGGACGACGAGGGCUCCACGGCGCUGAUGUGCGCCAGCGAGCACGGCCACGCCGACAUCGUCAAACUGCUGCUGGCGCAGCCCGACUGCGAUGCGACCCUGACUGACAGCGUGAGUCAUUUCCUCCAACAGUUGCUGUCAGCACUCUGGCUUCACGCUGAGAAGAAGAAGGUUCCCACAAAUCCUGUUAAAGUGACGAUGACAGCUCGGCCCUGUCCGUUGCUUUAGAAGCUGGUCACAACAACAUUGCCGUCCUGCUUUACGCCCACGCCAACUUCUCCCGAUGCACAGCGGGAGCAGCUCGACACAGCGGCAGGUUUUCCUCGUCCUCAGGAGGAUGGAGCAUCUUUGAAACCUGAAGGGAUUUUCAUAAUUUUUACUCUUAAAGCCCUAGCAACAAACCAACAGUGUUUUGUUUUUUUUAAAUCUAUUGGCACAUUGAUAUAUAUAUUUUUUGACUGUGGAUAUUUGCACUACUUAUCAGCAUGGCAACAUAGUUAACAAUUUGUCACAAUAGAUUAGAUCAGUUUCAAUUAAUAUGAUUAAGUAUUUGUAUUUUCUUUUUAGAAAAUAUUAUUUUAACAUAAUGCAACUUUUAUUGGAUGGCAUGAAAUUAUUUAAAGCAUUUGUUAUCACAUACUAAAAUUAGCAUCUUUUCCUAUUCUCAUAUUAUUUAAACAUGAUACCAGAGCCACAUGAUUAUAAAUUAUACAUUUGUUGUUGUUGUUGUUUAAAAUGUAAUUUUGUGUUUCAUUUGUUAUAUUAUUAAAUCUAUAACAUGAAUUUUGGAAAGCAGAAGGUUGUGCUUUUGUUCUGUUUUUGUUUUGAAAAUGUGGCUGCAGGAACGGAUGAGCCGUCUCCUUGUUCUUUUUUCUUGCAUAAUUAAUUAUGUUCGAUUUCUGCAGCUUAUUAAUGUCUCAAGUUUUUCUUUUUGUCUCACUAAACCAUCUACUUUUAUUUUGUUUGUUUGUUUGACAUGGUUCCUAGCACGUUGUUUUUAGUGGAAUGUUGUGUGACGGACCACCACAAAGGAACAGGGAGGUAAAAAUCCCCCAAUGUUCAAAGAUUGGGUGGAACAUCAACUUUUAAGUCAUGCCAAAAGUUACUAAUGGAAUUUAAAUCUGGACUUUGACUAGGCCAUUUAAACAUGUGCUCUGAGUAUUCCACCACUUUGUAGCUUUUUUUGUGUGUUGACUUUGACAAACUUCCUUAUCUCUUCUGAAUGAAAUUAUCCCAACAGCUUGAUGUUACUAACCCUUUUUUUUUUUUUUUUUGCCAGGAGGGACGGUGUUUUCAGGGCGGUAAGGUUAUGAACACUUUUGGGAACUGCACUGUAAAUUCUGCCAGGCCAUUUUAAACACAGACUGUGUGAGACCUUCAGCAGGUGAUCCCACGACUCCCAACAGUUAUCGUCCCAGACGCCAUGUUCACACACUUCUCACCUCCUAAUCUCUCCAUUCCCACAAUCCCGCCCACGGAUAGCGGGAAUUGUCCUUUUGGACUUAUUCACGCCUCGGUCUUUUUUAGUCUCCUUGAGAGCUUUUACAGACAAUUUCAUAAGGUUGAUGCAACGGGGCGUUUUCAUUUUUCCAACCUCCUCGGAGAACAGCUCUGCCUGACUGGGUUUGAGACCUGACACUGCGAAUCCCAGCACAGAGAGCUGAUCAAAAUACUCCAGUCACUAUCAAUGCUUGUGUGACACCUUGUUAAAACUGAAUUUUACAUUUCAGUAACUUCUGCAUCAUUCAUGAUUAUUUUUUGGGAGGGGGAGCACAAGCUGUACCCUAGAGUUCUUUGUAUUUUAAUGAGUGUCCCACAUUAGAUGCAGUAUUUAUACGUGUGACUAUUGGUGAAUAAAUAUGAGUCAGAAUAA